CACGCGGAUAAUUCUACGGUAGGCUACUGUUGUAGCACUUGCAUAAUCAACAUAAAUAUGUGCAUGCGGAGCUCCAACUAAGCUAUUUUCAAACCAACUUGACGAGGAAACUAUACAAGCACGAUAUGCUGUAUUGCUAUCGUAACCGCUUGACUUACAGAUGAAGCAGGUUACCGGUGUUUCAUUUUUCGGAAGACUAGUGAAUGGAAAGGAUGCAGCUUUUUAGUUCGUUUUGCAGUUUGUCUCUUGGAAUUAGAAGAGGAUACCCUGGAAAGAAAGGGUACUGGGGUAAACGACGAUGAGAAUAUAGAAUUUGAUAGCGCACAAUGGAUACGUAUCUGACUGUAAGCUGAAAUAGUAAGCUGAUGAGUUGGAACUGGGCUUCAUCACUGGCCAGGAGGAGAAGUCACCUUGCAGCAUUCAUCUUAGGGAGGAGAAAGGGAGACAUUUGAUUGGUUCUUGCCUGGAGGGAGAAGACAAGAUGGAGUACAGCAGCAGCUCAUCAAUCCUACAGUCAACUGAAACUGACCUGGACUCAAAUGUAACUUCACCUGCUGCAUCAGUUGACGCCGAGGCUGAGAACAGACCAUCAUCGGAACCUGCCACGUCUAAUCACCAAUGACCUGUCCACAAAAAACAACCUAUGAGUGUCUCUCCAGGGACAUCCUCUUCAAGAGCGCCAAAGAAAAUGAGGAAGAACGAUGACCUGACUGCUCGACUUCUGGAUGAGCAUAGAAAGGAGAGGGAAGAGAGACAUGCCAUAUUCACAUACGCAUGAUGACGAUAUUGCAAGAUUUUGUCACACCAUAGUUGACCUGAUCCGCGAACUGCCAUAACGUAAAAAAGGUCCAGCCAAGUUUAAAAUCCUUCAGGAGAGUGCUGGAGACACAGCUGGCUUAAGACACUGUUUGAAUACACACCCCGAUGUGGCUAAAGUAGUCUUUUUCCAAAGUGGCUAAAUAACUUUUGUUUGUGAUUUGAG
ensembl:lncRNA